rnacentral:rRNA from 1 species
GACGAACGCUGGCGGCGUGCUUAACACAUGCGAGUCGAACGGAAAGGCCCUGCUUUUGUGGGGUGCUCGAGUGGCGAACGGGUGAGUAACACGUGAGUAACCUGCCCUUGACGGUUGGAUAACUUCAGGAAACUGGGGCUAAUACCGGAUAGGAGCUCCUGCUGCAUGGUGGGGGUUGGAAAGUUUCGGCGGGUGGGGAUGGAGUUGGGGCUUAUCAGCUGGUUGGUGGGGUAGUGGCUUACGAAGGGUUUGGCGGGUAGCCGGCCUGGGAGGGUGACCGGGCACCUGAGGCCUAAGGUACGGCCCAGACUCCAACGGGGGGCAGCAGUGGGGAAUAUUGCACAGUGGGCGGAAGCCUGAUGCAGCAACGCCGCGUGCGGGAUGACGGCCUUCGGGUUGUAAACCGCUUUCGCCUGUGACGAAGCGUGAGUGACGGUAAUGGGUAAAGAAGCACCGGCUAACUACGUG